UACGGAAGGUCCAGGCGUUAUCCGGAUUUAUUGGGUUUAAAGGGAGCGCAGGCGGACCUUUAAGUCAGCUGUGAAAUACGGCGGCUCAACCGUCGAACUGCAGUUGAUACUGGAGGUCUUGAGUGCACAUAGGGAUACUGGAAUUCAUGGUGUAGCGGUGAAAUGCUCAGAUAUCAUGAAGAACUCCAAUCGCGAAGGCAGGUAUCCGGGGUGCAACUGACGCUGAGGCUCGAAAGUGCGGGUAUCAAACAGG
rnacentral:rRNA from 1 species